GUGGGGAAUUUUGGACAAUGGGGGCAACCCUGAUCCAGCCAUUCCGCGUGAGUGAAGAAGGCCUUCGGGUUGUAAAGCUCUUUCGUCAGGAACGAAACGGCGGGCUCUAACAUAGCCUGUUAAUGACGGUACCUGAAGAAGAAGCACCGGCUAACUACGUGCCAGCAGCCGCGGUAAUACGUAGGGUGCGAGCGUUAAUCGGAAUUACUGGGCGUAAAGCGUGCGCAGGCGGAUUGUUAAGCAAGACGUGAAAUCCCCGGGCUUAACCUGGGAAUGGCGUUUUGAACUGGCAGUCUAGAGUGCGUCAGAGGGGGGUGGAAUUCCACGUGUAGCAGUGAAAUGCGUAGAGAUGUGGAGGAACACCGAUGGCGAAGGCAGCCCCCUGGGAUGACACUGACGCUCAUGUACGAAAGCGUGGGUAGCAAACAGGAUUAGAAACCCGUGUAGUCC
rnacentral:rRNA from 1 species